UGAUAUAAGAAAAGAAAAGAAAAAUCUGAGGAACAACAUAUAAUUUCUGCAAAUUAGAGGGGGGUGAUGAGUAUUUUCCUUGCAAGGAAGAUGCCCCCAGCGGCCAGCGUUUGCGUUUCUCGACCUCCUUCUUUUAUAACGAAGUUGCCACACCUGGGCCUCAUAAUUGGGUUGAAUAUGAUACCGUACUUCCGAUGGGUCUACGUGGUAGAACAACGGUAAAAUUGUUGACCUCCGAUGAUUGAAACGGAAUCAACACCUUCACGGAUGGCGAGCUUAAAAGACGUGAUGAAAUUUCACCAGCACUGCUCAGUUCUCAAAGCGAUUGAAGAGCCAGAUCUAGAGACUAAACAUCAUCUAGAUGGCUCUUGGACGAGCUUGAUUUGUCCAAAAACAACGGGCCUGCAGGCUCUACCGUUGUUUUACCGCGUAGAUCCAUCAGCAGUACGUGUUGGAUUCUCCAUUCGCUGAACUUGAAGAAGAGUUCAAGGAUGAUGAACUGAAGGUGCAGAGGUGUAAGCAGGUAUUUCUAACCACUCCACCCUUGCACCUUCAUUUCAUCAUCCUUGAACAGGGGAAGAAAUUUGCUCAUCUCUGCUUCAAGUAAGCCGGAUUAUUACCCCUUUCUCUUAAUUGUAGUAUAGGGCCUCCCAUCUCUUUCAAAUGGAAAUCUAUCAUAAUCCAUUGACAUUUCAGUGCCUGUCAGACAUGAAAAUAUAGCCUGAGUUUAUCCUAUUUUAUUUUUAAUGAAUUUACACAAGAUUUGCAGGGCAGCGCACAUGAAGAAUAAGGGUAUCUUAAUAGCAAAAUGUUGAAGCAAACAGGGGCGGAUUCAUUGCUCAAUUCAUUUAUUGCUUCACUGCUCAAUUCCUUUUGGUAAAAAGAAAACAAAAAUACUCAUGUUAUGUGGAGUUAAAUGAGUAAUGCCAAGGAUGGUGGCGGAUCUACUCUCUUGCUGGGGAUGUAGACUAGGCCAGUACAGAAAUAGUUUAUGGAACUUGAUGCCAUUAUGUCUAAUGUGGAUAUUCGGGCUUGAAAGAAAUUAUUGGCCUUUUGAAGGAUUGAACUUCCUUUAGACAGAUUGAAGCAUCUAUUUUUUAAUUGCUUUUUCACUGAAUGUCUCUAGAUUGUAACAUUCCUUUUUAAGAGUUAUUGGAAAUGAAUACAUCCUGCGUGCUUCAUUAUAAUUAAUAUUAUUACUUAUCAAGGAAAAAGUUGAACCAAAUUAUGCCUAUCAGAUAUUAAUUUCAGAUGAAAUGAGCCUGAGUUAAUAGGGUUUAAAGAGUUGAAAGUAUCACAAUAUGUUGUCUGAGUAGAAAAUGUUAAAAGAAUGGUCAAUAUUGUUGAAGUAAAUUAUGCCUACUUUAAUCAGUUUAUACAAGUUAUUUGAUUGGAUCAAGUUUGUGUUUUACAGAUGAAUUUUGUCUUCUGCUCAUACAGGGAUAUUUCAAGUAACUCUCUGAGUGUAUAUAUCCCUCGGUCACUUGGGAAGCUGGAUGAGCUCAUUAUUAUUGUUGCCUUUUUGGACAUUUUGAAGCAAUGUGUCAACCAAUUUUCUGAUGGGGCCAAUACCCUCUGAUGGUGUGCUAAUCAACUUAACAGAAAGCUCAUAAGUGCAGCUUCUCCUGAUCUGCUAUGUUUAUAAUGUGAAUUUUAUCAUCAAGCAGCUCUUUGUUUAAUAAUUCAUGAGAUUUAAGGGAGUUUUCUAUGCUAAGUUCAUUUUCUUUUAAUAAUUUUGUUUGUUGGUAAGAGACAAGUAUUAUUAAUGAAAUAUUACAGAAUAUUGUUGAUGAUAGGGAAGGCGACAGAUUUCAUUGCUACUCUACUCUUGACAAAACUUUGUUUAUGUUCUGUAACCUGCCACAGUCACCGGCCUGUUGUAUUAAGCUUAACAAUGCAGUAAUUUACCCAAAAUAUUAUCCUAAUGGCCAGACCAUUAGGGUACUUAUACAGUUGUAUUAAGCUUAACAAUGCAGAUUGUUGGCAAUCGUGGUUUGUGUGGUAAGUAAAUCAACAUGGCAUUCAAGUAAGAUGAUGGAGGACCUGAAACUAAUUCCCAAUCUCCAACCUCAGGUAAAAUAAUUACACAUAGGAACUUCAUUGGUUGUGUUUUAUUUCACCGGAGAUAGGUGGAAAUUUUGGAUCAUGGAGCAUUCAGCUUCCAUUUAUUAGAAAGUGAGGAUUAUACUAUUUGUAUGGUUUCCAUACUGAUCUGAAGAGUUGUUAGAGUCCUGAUGUAACUCAAUCAUUUUAGUUAAUCGAUUCAUACUUUUGACAUCAUUGUAUUCAACAUGGGAUUAAUUCUGAGGACUUAUACAAUCUAGAAUUUCACCUUAGUAGCCCAAAAUCAGGCAUAAAGUCAAACUCCAGAUGUGUUUUCUUGUUCCAUACCAUCAGGACGUGGAGAAACUGAUAGAGGAGGUUCAAGAGGCUAGAAGAAUCAAAUUGUUGCAUCAGCCAAGCAAGGCAUUUUUGUGGGUUGUAGUGCUCCCAAAAGGACGAUCUGAUCCAUUUGCAAAAUAAACUUCUUUAUAAGAUCCUGGCGACUCCAGUAAGAUUGAUUAUGAAAUUACUUUGAUAAAGCAUAGGGUUUUCUUUAAAAGGGUAUUAGUUCUUGAUGAUGUGGAUCAUUCAUUCAUUCCAGUUUGUAUCUUUUGAUUACUUAUCAAAAAUAAAUAAAUAAAUUAUAGUUUUAGCAAGUGUUAAAAUCUCGUCCUUUGCAGUUGGCUUAAGAACUUUAUAAUAAUAUUUAUAUCAUAUAUGAACUCAAGCUUGAGUGAAAUCAAAUUUUAGGUACUACUGAUAUGGCUCAGUAUUGUGAUAGUGACUCGUAUUGAUGAUUAGCUAGAAUUCUGUGUGGGGAUUGCUUCCGCAGAUUUUGCAGUCAGUAAUUUCGAUGAGAGCCCAACCUGUGGAUGCGGGUUUGAUUGUGUUAAUGUGAAAGGAAGGAAGAUUAAGCCCAACUCUUCUUAAGUGAGCUUAAGUAGUUUAAGCUUUAAGAUAAAUAACAUGAUUACCAAUAAGCAGGUUGGAUUCUGUAUGCUUAAGUACUUGUCUUGAUGUACAUGUAUGAGAUAAUUAUCUUUCAUAUCUGAAAUGGGGUUUAUGUUUUGUA